GUCUUAUUCAAAAUUCAAAAACCGAUAGACAUGUAUAUAAACCUCAAUAGUUGCAGCGGAAUAUAAAUCAGAGUGAUCAAAUAUAUACAUGCCAUGAGCAAAUAAAUCAUAUCCCAAAGAUAAAUCUCAAAACCCAAACAUACGGGCAGUCAUCAACAAAACAAUAAUCCAAAGGAAAUAUAAACAACCUAAUCUAGACCGACACGACAAGCCUAGAUCAGAGCCGACACGACACCGAUAUCGGAGGAAGCUCCCGAUAUCCCAAGCAAAGACUCACCGAGCACUACUCCUGCACAACGUCUACUCACCCAUACAGGCAAGUAGGCGGUUAAAACCACUGGGGGUAAGCAUUACAUUAUCAUAAUCCAGAUGAUAAUAAAAUCAAAUAAUAUCAUGUAUUUGAAUAAUAUUAGCCAUGCAUAAAUACUUACAUCACAACUUGAUAGCUCAUAUCAAUAUACAUCAAUCACAUGAAUAAUUAUCCAAUCAUAAAUAUUCAUUCACAACAUUAAUCAUUGAACAAUCAUUAUCAACAUUCAUUCAUCUCAUUUAAUCACCAAUCACAUAUUUCACAUAGGACUCAUGCUAUGAUAUGCACUUAUUGACACAUAAAUGCAUGUGGUACCAAAUCUCAACAAGGUCGUCACCUUUCGAUGCCACUUGCACAUCGUAUGUAAGGGCUCACACCUGCCUUACAAUAAUCUCGAAGUAAAAGAGUUCAACCCUUUUACAGCAACAUCGACUAUGAUGCAUGGACAUGUAUAAGGACUCGAUAAUGCGACAACAAUUCACAAUCUCAACUCAAUAUAUAGGACGACACCCAAUUAUAUUGAUUAUCUCCACAACAUUGCAUUACCAAGGAAACAUGCCCAUACACGAUUAAAUCAUAGCAUUCAUCAUCAUCACAUCAACAUGAUUAUCAAUAAUCAACAAUGUUAUUCAACAUCAACUAUCACAUAUAGUUCACCGAUUCAAGCAUUCUCAUAUUCCAAGUAAGAUAGCAAAAUAUAUCUCAUGAUCAUCAUCACAUCCCAAUUACAUAUUUACAUACUCAAUUAUUCACUCUAAAUACUUCAUUAAGCCCAAUAUCAAGUUUGGAAAAGUUUCACGGCUUAUAGAAAAAGUUAUGAUAAGUUUUCACAAAAAUCCACAUGACCCAUGUGUAGUAAUUUAAUCAUAUCUCAAGUUCUAAAAAUCAUUUGGACGUCAAACCAAAACCAAAAGAUAGCUAACAUAAUUGUCUACAACUUUCAUGUUUACCAAAAAGUCCAAAUCAAAACAGAAAUAUGCGAAAACGAUGCAAGAGCGCGAAACAGGGGAAGCUGUCACUGGGCUGCUCGCCUCGCGAGUAGGGUUACUCGCCAUGGCGAGAAAUUCCAGUGGCUACUCGCCACCAGCUCGCCUCGCGAGUGAUGACAGUUUGCAGAAAAUUAUGUUUUCGUGAAAAAUCCAUUUUCACCCCAAAAUCCCAAUUUUUGACCUCCCAAUACCCAAAUUGAUUCCAAAGGUUUACCCAAAUGUUUUUAGACAUGAAAAGAUACUCAAAUCCAUAUACAAACUUGAAUCAAACAUCAUUUUAAACAAAAUCACCAUUUGACCCAUUUUCUCAAAACAUCAACAACAUCUCAUUUUUCAUCAUCAAUCCAUAAUUAUGUAUACCCAAGUCAUAAUUCACCCACAACAACAUCAGUUAAUAGCAAUAACCUUAAUGGAACAUGAAUCACAUCUCAUUUUAACAACAACAUAUCAAGAUUCACUAAUUGAGUAUAAUUUCAUAGCUUGACAUUUAUACAUACUUUGAAACAUGUAAUUUCAUCCACAAACAUACCAUAAUCAUCAAUUCAUGCACAAGAAAAUAGCAUCACAACAAGAGCACGGAUUUAACAUCAAUUGUUCAUCAACCCAUUUUCAUACAACCAUGAGAAAUGAAAAAAUUUGAAUUGAUUAUGAUGAAAACAAACCCCCUUACCUUAGAUGAUGUUUAAUCUUAACUUAGGUUUCACUUUAUCUCCUAAUUGCUUCAAUCUUCAAGUUUCCCCCUUCCUCUAACCUUGUUCUUCCUUCACCUCUCACUUCUCUCUCUACCUCUCUCUAACUUAGUGAAAUGAAAAGGAAUGAAUGAAUUUGCUCUCACAACCCUAAUGUUAUUUCCCCCUAGUGGGCUUAACUUAGUUUUAGUGGGCUUAACCCGUUUCUAUUCAAACCACAAUUCUAAAAAGUUUCUAUACA
rnacentral:lncRNA from 1 species